rnacentral:rRNA from 1 species
GUGGAUCAGUGGCGAACGGGUGAGUAACACGUGAGCAACCUGCCCCUGACUCUGGAAUAAGCGCUGGAAACGGCGUCUAAUACUGGAUACGAGAAGGGUCCGCAUGGGCACUUUCUGGAAAGUUUUUCGGUUGGGGAUGGGCUCGCGGCCUAUCAGCUUGUUGGUGAGGUAAUGGCUCACCAAGGCGACGACGGGUAGCCGGCCUGAGAGGGCGACCGGCCACACUGGGACUGAGACACGGCCCAGACUCCUACGGGAGGCAGCAGUGGGGAAUAUUGCACAAUGGGCGAAAGCCUGAUGCAGCGACGCCGCGUGAGGGAUGACGGCCUUCGGGUUGUAAACCUCUUUCAGCAGGGAAGAAGCGAAAGUGACGGUACCUGCAGAAGAAGCACCGGCUAACUACGUGCCAGCAGCCGCGGUAAUACGUAGGGUGCGAGCGUUGUCCGGAAUUAUUGGGCGUAAAGAGCUUGUAGGCGGUUUGUCGCGUCUGCUGUGAAAAUCCGGGGCUCAACCCCGGACUUGCAGUGGGUACGGGCAAACUAGAGUGUGGUAGGGGAGACUGGAAUUCCUGGUGUAGCGGUGAAAUGCGCAGAUAUCAGGAGGAACACCGAUGGCGAAGGCAGGUCUCUGGGCCACUACUGACGCUGAGAAGCGAAAGCAUGGGGAGCGAACAGGAUUAGAUACCCUGGUAGUCCAUGCCGUAAACGUUGGGCGCUAGGUGUGGGACUCAUUCCACGAGUUCCGUGCCGCAGCUAACGCAUUAAGCGCCCCGCCUGGG